AGUGGCGGACGGGUGAGUAACGCGUGAGAAUCUGCCUUGGGGUCGGGGACAACCACUGGAAACGGUGGCUAAUACCGGAUAAGCCGAUUGGUGAAAGAUUUAUUGCCCGAAGAGGAGCUCGCGUCUGAUUAGCUAGUUGGUGAGGUAAGAGCUCACCAAGGCAGCGAUCAGUAGCUGGUCUGAGAGGACGAUCAGCCACACUGGGACUGAGACACGGCCCAGACUCCUACGGGAGGCAGCAGUGGGGAAUUUUCCGCAAUGGGCGAAAGCCUGACGGAGCAAGACCGCGUGAGGGAGGAAGGCUCUUGGGUUGUAAACCUCUUUUCUCAGGGAAGAAGCUUUGACGGUACCUGAGGAAUCAGCCUCGGCUAACUCCGUACCAGCAGCCGCGGUAAUACGGAGGAGGCAAGCGUUAUCCGGAAUUAUUGGGCGUAAAGCGUCCGCAGGUGGCGAUUCAAGUCUGCUGUCAAAGCACGGGGCUUAACUCCGUAAAGGCAGUGGAAACUGAAUAGCUAGAGUGCCGUAGGGGUAGAGGGAAUUCCCGGUGUAGCGGUGAAAUGCGUAGAGAUCGGGAAGAACAUCGGUGGCGAAAGCGCUCUACUGGACGGCAACUGACACUCAGGGACGAAAGCUAGGGGAGCGAAUGGGAUUAGAUACCCC
rnacentral:rRNA from 1 species